rnacentral:rRNA from 1 species
AUGAGUCUUCUAUGCUGGAACUGCCGCGGGGCUGGCAAACCCGCGACAGUUCGUGAGCUUCGUGAUCUCACGAGGCAACUUGCCCCCUCUAUCGCAUGUAUCGUCGAAACUCAAUUAGAGGGCUCUCGAGUAGAGAAUCUAGCAGGCACUUUAGGUUUCAAUAAAAUUUUUGCUGUUAGUAGUCGUGGAAGGAGUGGAGGACUAUGUAUUUUUUGGAAUGAUGAAAUAAAGCUUGAAGUUGUCGGGUACUCUGAUUACCACAUUGAUGCAAUUGUUGAUGCAAUGGUUGAUCACAGGACAAGAGUUACUUUUGUGUACGGGGAGGCACAAGUCAAUGAACGAUACAAAACCUGGGAUAUGAUGAGGGGUAUCUGA